GAUGAACGCUGGCGGCGUGCCUAAUACAUGCAAGUCGAGCGAACAGACGCGGAGCUUGCUCCUCUGACGUUAGCGGCGGACGGGUGAGUAACACGUGGAUAACCUACCUAUAAGACUGGGAUAACUUCGGGAAACCGGAGCUAAUACCGGAUAAUAUAUUGAACCGCAUGGUUCAAUAGUGAAAGACGGUUUUGCUGUCACUUAUAGAUGGAUCCGCGCCGCAUUAGCUAGUUGGUAAGGUAACAGCUUACCAAGGCAACGAUGCGUAGCCGACCUGAGAGGGUGAUCGGCCACACUGGAACUGAGACACGGUCCAGACUCCUACGGGAGGCAGCAGUAGGGAAUCUUCCGCAAUGGGCGAAAGCCUGACGGAGCAACGCCGCGUGAGUGAUGAAGGUCUUCGGAUCGUAAAACUCUGUUAUUAGGGAAGAACAAAUGUGUAAGUAACUAUGCACGUCUUGACGGUACCUAAUCAGAAAGCCACGGCUAACUACGUG
rnacentral:rRNA from 1 species